rnacentral:rRNA from 1 species
GACAGAGGCCUCGAGCGUUAGGCGGAAUCACUGGGCUUAAAGCGUGUGUAGGCGGGCCCGUAAGUGUCUUGUGAAAUCCCACGGCUCAACCGUGGAACUGCUGGGCAUACUGCGGGUCUUGGGCCAACUAGGGGCAGCCGGAACAAGCGGUGGAGCGGUGAAAUGCGUAGAGAUCGGAAAGAACACCAACGGCGAAAGCACUCUGCUGGGCCGACACUGACACUGAGAGACGAAAGCUAGGGGAGCGAAUGGG